GAGUUUGAUCCUGGCUCAGAACGAAUGCUAGUAGUAUACAUUACACAUGCAAGUCGAACGAAGAGAGCAAUCUCUUAGUGGCGUACGAGUGAGUAAUAUGUGAGUAAUCUACACAUUAGUAAUGAUGUUAAUUAAUUGAAAAAUUUUGUAAUCCAUUAUAGAAAUUAGUAUUGUAGGAUAUUAAUUGAAAGGAAUUUAUUUCGCUAAUGAAUGAGCUCACACCAAAUUAGGUAGUUGUUAGUGUAAAGGACUAACAAGCCGAUGAUUUGUAGCCGGCCUUGGAGGGUGAUCGGCCACGUUAGAAUUGAAAAAAGGUCUAAUUUCCUACGGGAAACAGCAGUGGGGAAUAUUGGGCAAUGUGGGAAACCAUGACCCAGUAAUACUACUUGAGUGAUGAAGGUAUUAACUUAUUGUAAAACUCUUUUCUUGAUUAAGAAGAUGACUAGUCAAGGAAUAAGCACCGACUAACUUCGUAUUUUAUAGGUGCGAAGUAAAUAUAGUAAUAUAUUUAGAGAAAACUUCACUAUAUGCUGGAAAGUUAUAUGAAAGUACUAUAUACUAAAGAUUAUAAUUUUAAUAUUUAUGUUAAAAAAUAAUUUACAGUGAAAAUUAUAGUAUAAUGUCCGAAAAACGCGAUUAAAGAUGGACAGUAUAAUAAUCAGCAGGCAAUUUAGUAAUUAUAAAUAAUUAAUAAAGCGCCUCAGAGACUACACGUGAAGCUCCUAUUUAUCUCUUUUAUAAAUAAUUUUGGUAAAGUUUUUAUUUAUAAAAUGUAAUUAGGAUGGUGAUAUAGUCCGAAUAGAAUUUUUAAAUUUAUUUUUUAAAUUUAUACAAAUAAAUUCUAUGCAAUUAAUUUGAAAUAUAUAAUAUUUAAUAUUUUAAACAAAAAAAUUAUUGUUUAUUUAUAAAAAUUAAUUGGCCAGCAAUCGCGGUAAGACGAAGGGUGCGAGCAUUGUUCGGUUUAAAUGGGCUUAAAAUGUGCGUAGAUGAAUUUAUAAGUGAAUUAUAGGGAUAUGGCAUAACCAUGGGUAUGUAAUUCAUACUGUAGAUUUUGAGAUAUAGGGAGGUUAAUGGAAUUUCUAGUGUAAGAGUGAAAUCUAAUGAUAUUAGAAGGAACACCGGGGGCGAAGGCGAUUAACCAUCUAUUUCUGACAUUGAGGCACGAAAGCGUGGGGAGCAAAACGGAUUAGAUACCCGUGUAGUCCACGCCCUAAAAGAUGAGUAUUUGACGUUUGGUUGUAAAACUGAGUGUCUAAGUGAAAAUGAUAAAUACUCUGCCUGGGGAUUACGUACGCAAGUAUAAAACUCAAAGGAAUUGACGGAAUCUCGCACAAGCCGCGGAUGAUGUGAUUUAAUUCGAAGGUACUCGAAAAACCUUACCAACUCUUGACAUACAUUUGAUCGAGUUAGAAAUAACUUUUUCCUACGGGACAAAUGAACAGGUAUUGCAUGGCCGUUGUCAGCUCGUGCCGUGAGGCGUAUGGUUCAGUCCUUUAACGAGCGAAACUGCCUUCUUUAGUUGCCACGUUUAGAAAUAAACAGCACCCUAAAGGUGUAAUUAUAAUCUAUUGAUUGUAAUAUAAGGGCAAUAACGUCAGGUCAUCAUGAUCCUUAUGAGUUGGGCUAUACACGUCAUACAAUGGAUAAUACAAAGGGAAGCAAUAGGGCGACCUUGAGCAAAUCCAAAAAAAUUAUUCUCAAUCCAGAUUGUAGUCUGCAAUUCGACUGCAUGAAGUUGGAGUGGCUAGUAAUCGCUUAUCAGCAUGUAGCGGUGAACACGUUAUCGAGAUUUGUACACACCGCCCGUCAAGUUGUGGGAAUUAGCUUUAUACAAAGCUCUGAUGGAGUAAAUAUGAAGAUAAUGACACCAAUUAAGUCGUAACAUGGUUGUGCUAGGGGAACCUGGCCAGCAAUCGCGGUAAGACGAAGGGUGCGAGCAUUGUUCGGUUUAAAUGGGCUUAAAAUGUGCGUAGAUGAAUUUAUAAGUGAAUUAUAGGGAUAUGGCAUAACCAUGGGUAUGUAAUUCAUACUGUAGAUUUUGAGAUAUAGGGAGGUUAAUGGAAUUUCUAGUGUAAGAGUGAAAUCUAAUGAUAUUAGAAGGAACACCGGGGGCGAAGGCGAUUAACCAUCUAUUUCUGACAUUGAGGCACGAAAGCGUGGGGAGCAAAACGGAUUAGAUACCCGUGUAGUCCACGCCCUAAAAGAUGAGUAUUUGACGUUUGGUUGUAAAACUGAGUGUCUAAGUGAAAAUGAUAAAUACUCUGCCUGGGGAUUACGUACGCAAGUAUAAAACUCAAAGGAAUUGACGGAAUCUCGCACAAGCCGCGGAUGAUGUGAUUUAAUUCGAAGGUACUCGAAAAACCUUACCAACUCUUGACAUACAUUUGAUCGAGUUAGAAAUAACUUUUUCCUACGGGACAAAUGAACAGGUAUUGCAUGGCCGUUGUCAGCUCGUGCCGUGAGGCGUAUGGUUCAGUCCUUUAACGAGCGAAACUGCCUUCUUUAGUUGCCACGUUUAGAAAUAAACAGCACCCUAAAGGUGUAAUUAUAAUCUAUUGAUUGUAAUAUAAGGGCAAUAACGUCAGGUCAUCAUGAUCCUUAUGAGUUGGGCUAUACACGUCAUACAAUGGAUAAUACAAAGGGAAGCAAUAGGGCGACCUUGAGCAAAUCCAAAAAAAUUAUUCUCAAUCCAGAUUGUAGUCUGCAAUUCGACUGCAUGAAGUUGGAGUGGCUAGUAAUCGCUUAUCAGCAUGUAGCGGUGAACACGUUAUCGAGAUUUGUACACACCGCCCGUCAAGUUGUGGGAAUUAGCUUUAUACAAAGCUCUGAUGGAGUAAAUAUGAAGAUAAUGACACCAAUUAAGUCGUAACAUGGUUGUGCUAGGGGAACCUGGUGCAGGAC
rnacentral:rRNA from 1 species